GACGAACGCUGGCGGCGUGCUUAACACAUGCAAGUCGAACGGUAAGGCUCCAGCUUGCUGGGGUACACGAGUGGCGAACGGGUGAGUAACACGUGGGUGACCUGCCCUGCACUUCGGGAUAAGCCUGGGAAACUGGGUCUAAUACCGGAUAGGACCAUGGUGUGGAUACUGUGGUGGAAAGUUUUUUCGGUGUGGGAUGGGCCCGCGGCCUAUCAGCUUGUUGGUGGGGUAAUGGCCUACCAAGGCGGCGACGGGUAGCCGGCCUGAGAGGGUGGACGGCCAUAUUGGGACUGAGACACGGCCCAGACUCCUACGGGAGGCAGCAGUGGGGAAUAUUGCACAAUGGGCGGAAGCCUGAUGCAGCGACGCCGCGUGGGGGAUGACGGCCUUCGGGUUGUAAACUCCUUUCACCAUCGACGAAGGGUUUCUGACGGUAGAUGGAGAAGAAGCACCGGCUAACUACGUG
rnacentral:rRNA from 1 species